rnacentral:rRNA from 1 species
UACGAAGGGGGCUAGCGUUGCUCGGAAUCACUGGGCGUAAAGGGUGCGUAGGCGGGUCUUUAAGUCAGGGGUGAAAUCCUUGGAGCUCAACUCCAGAACUGCCUUUGAUACUGAAGAUCUUGAGUUCGGGAGAGGUGAGUGGAACUGCGAGUGUAGAGGUGAAAAUUCGUAGAUAUUCGCAAGAACACCAGUGGCGAAGGCGGCUCACUGGCCCGAUACUGACGCUGAGGCACGAAAGCGUGGGGAGCAAACAGGA